rnacentral:rRNA from 1 species
UGUCUCAAAAGAUUAAAGCCAUGCAUGUCUAAAGUAUAAGCACAUUAUACGGUGAAAACUGCGAAUGGCUCAUUAAAUCAGUUAUCGUUUAUUUUGAUAGUGCCUUACUACAUGGAUACCUGUGGUAAUUCUAGAGCUAAUACAUGCUGAAAAACCCCGACUUCGGGAGGGGUGUAUUUAUUAGAUAAAAAACCAACGCCCUUCGGGGCUCCUUGGUGAAUCAUGAUAACUUAACGAAUCGCAUGGCCUUGCGCCGGCGAUGGUUCAUUCAAAUUUCUGCCCUAUCAACUUUCGAUGGUAGGAUAGUGGCCUACCAUGGUGGCAACGGGUAACGGGGAAUUAGGGUUCGAUUCCGGAGAGGGAGCCUGAGAAACGGCUACCACAUCCAAGGAAGGCAGCAGGCGUGCAAAUUACCCAAUCCCGACACGGGGAGGUAGUGACAAUAAAUACUGAUACGGGGCUCUUUUGGGUCUCGUAAUUGGAAUGAGAGCAAUUUAAAUCCCUCAACGAGGAACAAUUGGAGGGCAAGUCU